rnacentral:rRNA from 1 species
AUUGAACGCUGGCGGCAGGCCUAACACAUGCAAGUCGAACGUGGCGCGGACGGGUGAGUUAUCUGUGGGAAACUGCCUGGUGGGGGGGGAUAUCCAGGGGAAAGGGUAGCUAAUACCGUAUCCUCUCAGAUGCGCCCAGAUGGGAUUAGCGAGUUUGUGGGGUAACGGCUCACCAAGGCGACGAUCCCUAUCUGGUCUGAGAGGAUGACCAGCCACACUGGAACUGAGACACGGUCCAGACUCCUACGGGAGGCAGCAGUGGGGAAUAUUGCACAAUGGGCGCAAGCCUGAUGCAGCCAUGCCGCGUGUAUGAAGAAGGCCUUCGGGUUGUAAAGUACUUUCAGCGAGGAGGCGUUACCCGCAGAAGAAGCACCGGCUAACUCCGUGCCAGCAGCCGCGGUAAUUC